rnacentral:rRNA from 1 species
UACAGAGGGUGCAAGCGUUGUUCGGAAUUAUUGGGCGUAAAGCGCGUGUAGGCGGCUUGGCAAGUCGGGUGUGAAAUCCCUCAGCUCAACUGAGGAAGUGCGCCCGAAACUGCUUUGCUUGAGUGCCAGAGAGGAUGGCGGAAUUCCCCAAGUAGAGGUGAAAUUCGUAGAUAUGGGGAGGAACACCGGUGGCGAAGGCGGCUCACUGGACCGGAACUGACGCUGAGGCGCGAAAGCGUGGGGAGCAAACAGG